AAUAUCUACAUAAUAAUUUAAAAAAAUCAUAGGCUUUAAACAAAAGAUUUUGUGAAAAAUCAGUCUCAUUUUGGAUUACAAUUCGGGA
ensembl:snoRNA EEED8.19 ncRNA